rnacentral:rRNA from 1 species
UACGGGGGGAGCAAGCGUUGUUCGGAUUUACUGGGCGUAAAGGGCGCGUAGGCGGCCACCGCAAGUCGACUGUGAAAUCUCCGGGCUUAACCCGGAGAGGUCAGCCGAUACUGCGGGGCUAGAGUGCAGAAGGGGCAACUGGAAUUCCUGGUGUAGCAGUGAAAUGCGUAGAUAUCAGGAGGAAUACCGAUGGCGAAGGCAGGUCUCUGGGCUGACACUGACGCUCAUGCACGAAAGCGUGGGGAGCAAACAGG